GACGAACGCUGGCGGCGUGCUUAACACAUGCAAGUCGAACGGAAAGGCCCUGCUUUUGUGGGGUGCUCGAGUGGCGAACGGGUGAGUAACACGUGAGUAACCUGCCCUUGACUUUGGGAUAACUUCAGGAAACUGGGGCUAAUACCGGAUAGGAGCUCCUGCUGCAUGGUGGGGGUUGGAAAGUUUCGGCGGUUGGGGAUGGACUCGCGGCUUAUCAGCUUGUUGGUGGGGUAGUGGCUUACCAAGGCUUUGACGGGUAGCCGGCCUGAGAGGGUGACCGGCGACAAGAGGACUGAGACACGGACCAGACGACUAAGGGAGGCAGCAGUGGGGAAUGUUGGACAACGGGGGAAAGCGUGAUCCAGCCAGGCGGCGUGAGGGAUGAAGGCCUUCGGGUUGUAAAGUGGUUUUGUAAGGAACGAAACGGUAUGUUCUAAUAAAGAAGGUUAAUGACGGUACUGGAAGAAUAAGCACCGGCUAACUACGUG
rnacentral:rRNA from 1 species